rnacentral:rRNA from 1 species
UACGGAGGAGGCAAGCGUUAUCCGGAAUUACUGGGCGUAAAGCGUGCGCAGGCGGCGCGUUUAAGACAGGUGUGAAAGCCCCCGAGCUUAACUUGGGAAUUGCGCUUGUGACUGGCGUGCUGGAGUGUGGCAGAGGGGAGGUGGAAUUCCACGUGUAGCAGUGAAAUGCGUAGAGAUGUGGAGGAACACCGAUGGCGAAGGCAGCCUCCUGGGCCAGCACUGACGCUCAUGCACGAAAGCGUGGGGAGCAAACAGG